rnacentral:rRNA from 1 species
CCCGCUCAGAAACUCAAUGAAUUGACGGGGCCCGCACAAGCGGUGGAGCAUGUGGUUUAAUUCGAUGAUACGCGAGGAACCUUACCUGGGCUCAAAUGUAUGUUGACGUAUUCUGAAAGGGAUACUUCUUCGGACAAUAUACAAGGUGCUGCAUGGUUGUCGUCAGCUCGUGCCGUGAGGUGUCGGGUUAAGUCCCAUAACGAGCGCAACCCUACCUUUAGUUGCCAUCAGGUAAUGCUGGGGACUCUAAAGGAACUGCCUACGCAAGUAGUGAGGAAGGCGGGGAUGACGUCAAAUCAGCACGGCCCUUACGUCCAGGGCUACACACGUGCUACAAUGGCCGAUACAGAGGGCAGCUACCUGGUGACAGGAUGCAAAUCUCCAAAGUCGGUCUCAGUUCGGAUCGGAGUCUGCAACCCGACUCCGUGAAGUUGGAUUCGCUAGUAAUCGCGCAUCAGCCAUGGCGCGGUGAAUACGUUCCCGGGCCUU